rnacentral:lncRNA from 1 species
UUGUAGUUGGGACAACCCCAAAAUUUUUUUCCAGCAUUUUUUUGUGUGUUGUUGCUAUUCUCAAAACAACAAAUUGUCCACAAUCACAAAUAGGAUCAAUGAAGGCACUUGUGCUCCAGUAGCAUGGAUAAAAGUACCAUGUUUUUGCAACAAUAUGAUUAUGUAAAUGAGUAGCAUGAAAAAUACCAUAAAACCUUAACAAUAACAAUAACAAUGUGAACGUCAAAAAUAACAAUAACAAUUCAUUAAUGUUCAACAUGAAAAUUAGAAAAAAAAAACAAUGACAAUAACAUAAUGAUAAAACACUUAAUGGCCUUGAUGACGUCGAAUGUCACUCAGAGUAUCCUCAAUUAUGUCCAUCCUUUGAUCAACCCUGUCAAUUCGGGUAUUCAUGUUUUGUAUGCCGGACAAAAUUUGAGUUAACAAUUCCCUUUGAGUGGGGUUUGCCGGACAUAUUUAAUUAACUAUCUACUAACUCCUUAAUAUAAUUAACUAAACUAAACUCUAAACAAAUUAUAUUACAACCAACAUUAAUUUACUAACGCCUUACCAUAAUAAACUAAAAUAAAUUCUAAACAAAUUAUAUUACAAAACCAUAAUCAUUCAAACAUAAAUAUAAAACAGAAAUUAAAAAAAAUAACUUUACAUAAAAAAUUUAAAAACCUGAAGAUAAGCACUCAAGAACAGCAAUAGGGAUGACUUAUAGGAUGAAGAACACACCUGAAAACAACAUAAAACAAAUUAAGAAACAUUUCUAUUUCACAAAUUUUACAACAUAAUCGAUUAUCGCAUCACUUAUAUACACAGGAUAAUCGAUUAUCAAUGCAUAAUCGAUUAUGUUAGUAGGCAAAAAACAACCAUAAUCGAUUAUCACAAUAAAUAAUCGAUUAAGACCCCUUUUACACACUUCAGAUAAUCGAUUAUGGGUCGAAAAUUUUACAGAUAAUCGGUUACUCGCUUAACUUAAUCGAUUAUCUACACCAUAAUCGAUUAUUUUACCUGUGCUAUUUAAGCCAUAAUCGAUUAAGCAACAAUCAAACACAUAAACUCACCUCAGAUCAACCCAGAGAUGAACCCAGAUGAAGCCAGAGAUGAACCCAGAGAUGAACACAACACUUUGAGAUGAACAACCAACCCCUACCACACACUAUGACUUACGAAUCUCUCCAACUACACACUCUAUGCUUCGCUUUCUUU